GGGUUGUGAGGUUAAGCGACUAAGCGUACACGGUGGAUGCCCUGGCAGUCAGAGGCGAUGAAGGACGUGCUAAUCUGCGAUAAGCGUCGGUGAGGUGAUAUGAACCGUUAUAACCGGCGAUUUCCGAAUGGGGAAACCCAGUGUGAUUCGUCACACUAUCAUUAACUGAAUCCAUAGGUUAAUGAGGCGAACCGGGGGAACUGAAACAUCUAAGUACCCCGAGGAAAAGAAAUCAACCGAGAUUCCCCCAGUAGCGGCGAGCGAACGGGGAGGAGCCCAGAGCCUGAAUCAGUGUGUGUGUUAGUGGAAGCGUCUGGAAAGGCGCGCGAUACAGGGUGACAGCCCCGUACACAAAAAUGCACACA
rnacentral:rRNA from 1 species